ACGGAAGGUCCGGGCGUUAUCCGGAUUUAUUGGGUUUAAAGGGAGCGCAGGCCGUGGGCUAAGCGUGCCGUGAAAUUCUGUCGCUCAACGGCAGACGUGCGGCGCGAACUGGUCCACUUGAGUACGCGGGACGUUGGCGGAAUUCGUGGUGUAGCGGUGAAAUGCUUAGAUAUCACGAAGAACUCCGAUUGCGAAGGCAGCUGACGGUAGCGCAACUGACGCUGAGGCUCGAAAGCGCGGGUAUCGAACAG
rnacentral:rRNA from 1 species